CAGGUUGCUGAGCCAGUAUCUACAGUAUGUAACUCCAUCAGCAGUGUUUGCUGAGCCGUCAUUUGACCCUAUUGACAUCCUGAGAACACGGAUCAAUACGACACCAGAGGUUUUCCAAUUCUUGUUUUCCUGGCUCAUCAGGACCAACGUAAUAUAGACGGGACAAGAAGAGCAUGUCGAUGAAGAUUUCCAUCCAAACCAGGUGGCCUGAUGAGGUGAAGCCGUGGCCGAUGACCACCUACACGACAGAUGUUCCAUGAGGUGCUAUUGUGGUUCCCCUCUUGUGUUCUAUGUACACCUCAUAGAAAUAGAACAGGAGUAGAACGGACAUUUAACUGUUUUCAGUGGGCAUUCGACUACUACAAAAGUAAACAGUGAUUGUUGUUAGUUGUUAUGGUGACAACACCAUCAGAGGGGAUGUAAAUUAAGGUGAGGAGUGAGGCGGAGGGACCGUUAGACCCAGCGGAAGAGGGAGAUGUAAGGAGGGAACUGAGAGGAGGAUGAAGAGAGGGGGAGCUGUAAGGAGGAAGCUGAGAGGAAGGAG